rnacentral:rRNA from 1 species
CCUGGUAGUCCACGCUGUAAACGAUGUCGAUUUGGAGGUUGUGCCCUUGAGGCGUGGCUUCCGGAGCUAACGCGUUAAAUCGACCGCCUGGGGAGUACGGCCGCAGGGUUAAAACUCAAAUGAAUUGACGGGGGCCCGCACAAGCGGUGGAGCAUGUGGUUUAAUUCGAUGCAACGCGAAGAACCUUACCUACUCUUGACAUCCAGAGAACUUAGCAGAGAUGCUUUGGUGCCUUCGGGAACUCUGAGACAGGUGCUGCAUGGCUGUCGUCAGCUCGUGUUGUGAAAUGUUGGGUUAAGUCCCGCAACGAGCGCAACCCUUAUCCUUUGUUGCCAGCGGUUCGGCCGGGAACUCAAAGGAGACUGCCAGUGAUAAACUGGAGGAAGGUGGGGAUGACGUCAAGUCAUCAUGGCCCUUACGAGUAGGGCUACACACGUGCUACAAUGGCAUAUACAAAGAGAAGCGACCUCGCGAGAGCAAGCGGACCUCAUAAAGUAUGUCGUAGUCCGGAUUGGAGUCUGCAACUCGACUCCAUGAAGUCGGAAUCGCUAGUAAUCGUAGAUCAGAAUGCUACGGUGAAUACGUUCCCGGGCCUUGUACACACCGCCCGUCACACCAUGGGAGUGGGUUGCAAAAGAAGUAGGUAGCUUAACCUUCGGGAGGGCGCUUACCACUUUGUGAUUCAUGACUGGGGUGAAGUCGUAACAAGGUACCAAGGGCGAA